GACGAACGCUGGCGGCGUGCUUAACACAUGCAAGUCGAACGGAAAGGCCCUGCUUUUGUGGGGUGCGCGAGCGGCGAACGGGUGAGUAACACGGUAGUAACCGGCCCUUGACUUUGGGAUAACUUCAGGAGACUGGGGCUAAUACCGGAUAGGAGCUCACGCUGCAUGGUGGGGGUUGGAAAGGUUCGGCGGUUGGGGUUGGACUCGCGGCGUAUCAGCUUGUUGGUGGGGUAGUGGCUUACCAAGGCUUUGACGAGUAGCCGGACUGAGAGGGUGACGGGCCACAUUACGCCUCCAGUACGCCCCAGACUCGUACGGUAGGCAGCACUGGGAAAUAUAGCGCAAUGGGCCGAAGCAUGAUACCGCAACACAACGAGCGGGCUGUUGGCCUUCGCGUUAUAGACCGCUUCCCCAUGUGACGAAGCGUCAGUGACGGUACUGUGUAAAAAAGCACCGGCUAACUACGUG
rnacentral:rRNA from 1 species